UGCGAAGGGGGCUAGCGUUGCUCGGAAUCACUGGGCGUAAAGCGCACGUAGGCGGCUUCUUAAGUCAGGGGUGAAAUCCUGGAGCUCAACUCCAGAACUGCCUUUGAUACUGAGAAGCUUGAGUCCGGGAGAGGUGAGUGGAACUGCGAGUGUAGAGGUGAAAUUCGUAGAUAUUGGGAAGAACACCGGUGGCGAAGGCGGCUCACUGGCUCAUAUCUGACGCUCAGGCGCGACAGCGUGGGGAUCAAACAGG
rnacentral:rRNA from 1 species